rnacentral:rRNA from 1 species
CCUACGGGGAGCAGCAGUGGGGAAUAUUGGACAAUGGGCGAAAGCCUGAUCCAGCCAUGCCGCGUGUGUGAAGAAGGCCUUCGGGUUGUAAAGCACUUUCAGUGGGGAAGAAAGCCUUGGGGCUAAUACCCUCGAGGAAGGACAUCACCCACAGAAGAAGCACCGGCUAACUCCGUGCCAGCAGCCGCGGUAAUACGGAGGGUGCGAGCGUUAAUCGGAAUUACUGGGCGUAAAGCGCGCGUAGGCGGUCUGAUAAGCCGGUUGUGAAAGCCCCGGGCUCAACCUGGGAACGGCAUCCGGAACUGUCAGGCUAGAGUGCAGGAGAGGAAGGUAGAAUUCCCGGUGUAGCGGUGAAAUGCGUAGAGAUCGGGAGGAAUACCAGUGGCGAAGGCGGCCUUCUGGACUGACACUGACGCUGAGGUGCGAAAGCGUGGGUAGCAAACAGGAUUAGAUACCCUGGUGGUC